rnacentral:rRNA from 1 species
UUGAAAGGGAAACGAUUGAAGUCAGUCGUACCAGCGGGAAAUCAACCUUUCGAGUGGGGUUUUGGAGUUUUGAAGAGUGUCAAAACCUUUUGAGAUUUCAAAAUAUUCGCUCUUUUGGUGUACUUUCUCGUGGGUAGGUUAACAUCGAUUUCGAUCAUCAUAAAAGGAUUGGAGGAAUGUAGCUUCGAUCUUGUAUUGAAGUGUUAUAGCCUUUGGUAAAUGUGAUGAUUGGGAUCGAGGAUUGCAACGAAUACCCUUUUGGGCUAUCCGCCUGAUCUCUGAUACGUGGCCUUGGCAUCGAAAGCUUGCUUAUGGUAUCAAGGUAUUACGGUCAAAAGGUUAGAACGGAUUACAUUCGUUAAGGAUGUUGACGUA